rnacentral:lncRNA from 1 species
ACACUUGGCUGUUGAGCACUAGACAUGUGGCUGGUUUGAAUAAGGCACCAAAUUGAAGAGGCGACUAGGACACAGACCCAGCAAGUGACACUGGGAGAAGACGGCCAUCUGUAAGCCAAGGGAGGAUGCUUCAGGAGGAAGCGACCCUGCCGACAACUUGAUCUUGGACUUCUAGCCUUCCAGAAUUCUUUGCACAGUCUAGUUCCAGAUACCUCCCCCCAAAAUUCUGGGCUGCCCUUUCCAUUGCCCCAAGGCCCCCACACACUUAUAGCAAUUCCCCAACAAAUGAAUGUCACUUUUCCAUUAUAGAGACAGACCAAAUUAGCAUUUAGCAGAAAAAGGGACUUCGUCUUCUUCUUCUUUUUUUUUUUUUUUGCAAAUCAUAUAACUCUAAAUUACCUUCAAUUUCCUAAAUGGAAUUUGGCUCGAGAUUCACCCUGGUAGGGAGUAGUCUGUAAUGAGAUUAUAUUAUGUUUGGGGGAAAACAUUCAAAUGACCAAGAUAAUUAAUUUUGCAUAACAACCAACAUAUAGCAAGAGCCAAAGCCGUAACUCAAAGCCUGCAACCUGCCGGGGGCCCCUGGGGGUGAUAAUGUUUCUUUCAAAAUACUACCUCAGAGAUGGUUCUGGGGACCCAGGAAAUGCAGAGGUUUGAAAGCUGGAAAUGUCGUGUUCUUUCUGUCCCGGUGGCCAUGCUCAUCUUUUCUCCGUAGCUGUCAUUCACACGAGCUCUCUCCUGGGCUCAGGAAGAUGAAAGAUAUCCCCAGACCCCAAGGAGCAUCCUGAAUGGGUUUUGUUGGGAGGAAUCUUUUGAGAGUUAAUUCCAAGUGUUUAAAAUGUUUGGUGCUGUUUCAAAGGCUCAGCUUAUGGUAGGAUGUGGGGUGUGUGUGUGUGUGUGUGUGUGUGUGUGUGUGUGUGUACACACGCACAGGUGUGCUCAUCUUCUAAAGGAAAGACUAAGAUCAAAUGCUCUCUGGUUCUUUGAAUUUGCUUUGCCAGGUGGCUUUAUUUGUAUGAUAUUAGCCUUGUCUGAACAUCUGGGAAGGAUCUGACGUGGCAGCAAUUUUCUGGUUCUGAUUCAUUGCUAAAGUCCCCUCAGAAAUAGCCAGGACCUGGCUGACUGCCCACCUCCAUCCUUGCAUCUCUUGGCUGCAUCUCCUCCUAACGCAGUCCAAGAACGUACAUUGGGUUGGGAGCCAGCGAACCUAUAUUUUUUGUUUAAGAUCUGCUUCUAACCACCUGCAUGGUCUAAAAAAAAACAAAAACCAAAAAACUUCUGUACUUACACACUUGUGAAUGUUCACAAGAGACAAGAGAGGGGAACAACCUAAAUGUCCAUCAGUGGACGAGUGGAUAAGCAAAUUGUGGUAUGUCCAUACAAUGGAAUAAUACGUGGCCAUAAAAAGGCAGGUAGUAUUGAAAGCAUGAUGCUAAGUAAGAGAAGCCAAAUCUAAAUUGUCACACAUUUUAUGAUUCCUUUCAUAUGAAAUGCCCAGGGUAGGUAAAUCCAGAGACAGAAAAUGGAUUGGUGGGUGCCAAGGGCUGGGGAGAGAAAGGAAGGAGGAAUGACAGCUUAUCAGGUAUUGGUUUUCUUUCCAGGUGAUGGAAAUAUUUUGGAACUAGGUAGUGUGAUGAUGGUUGCAUGACACUGUGAAUGUGUUAAAUGCCAAUGAAUCAUCCACUUUAAAGUGAUUACUCUUAUGAGAAUUCCACUACACUUUAAAAAAGUUCCCUCCAUCCUUAAGCCCACCAGGUCUUAGAGCAUUUAUCUGGAAAAAUCAGAUGUUAGACCAGAAACAGAUUUCAAACUUUCAGGUUCUAGACCACAUUUGGCCAGCUAAUACUUAAUAGGGCCUCAACAGCAGUUCCCACAAUUCUCAAUCUGAAUUUCCUUUUGUGGUCAAAGAUGAGCCUCUCUCCCCACUGCAGUGUGCCACGUCUCCUGGUCUUCAUAUCCUGUGUAGCCCCUCUCACACCGAAACUGGGCUGACCCUGUGAUUAGCACUGACCCGCAGAAGUGACAUCAUGUAACGUCCAAGGCUGGACCCUGAGACACCUGCAGUUUCCACCUGUGACACCAUGGAACGUGACACCAUGCUGUGAGGAAGCCCAGGCUGCACAAGGAAACACACACACAGGAGCCCCAGGCAGCCGUUGGCACCCACCACCAGCCAUGUUAGUGAACGAUCUUGACAUUCCAGUCCAAUCAAGCCUUCAGGGGACACAGCCUAGCUAACCUCACGUGGAGGUUUUCUGCGAUGUUGCUGUAGCUACAGCUGUCGAUACAUUGCUUAUAUACAUAUGUAUCUCUAUCUGAAUCUGUAUCGAUCUAGAUAUAGUUCAUAUAGAUACAAUCAUAUACAUCUCUCUAUCUAUUUAUAAUUGGCUGACACAAUUAUGGGGACUGACAAGUCCAAAAUGUACAGGACAGGCUGUCAGGUUCGACUCCCAGGGAAGAGCUGAUGCUGUGCUCAAGGCCUAAGGCAGACAACUGGCAGCAGGACUUCUUCCUUUUGGGAGGUCAGUCUUUUUUUUUUUUUUUUUUUUUUUUUUUUUUGGUCUUUUUGUCCUUUUAGGGCUGCACCUGAGGCAUAUGGAGGGUCCCAGGCCAAGGGUCAAAUCAGGGCUGUAGCUGCCAUCCUACACCACAGCCACAGCAACGCUGGAUAUGAGCCACAUCUGCAACCUACACCACAGCUCAUGGCAAUGCUGGAUCCUUAACCCACUGAGUGAGGCCAGGGAUAGAACCCACAGCCUCAUGGUUCCUAGUCAGAUUCAUUAACCACUGAGCCAGGACGGGAACUCCUGGGAGGUCAGUCUUUUUUCUGAUAGCCUUCACCUGAUUGGACGAGGCUCACCCCCAAUAUGGAAGAUAAUCUGUUUCAUUUAAAGGCUGCUGAUUUAAAUAUUAAUCACAUCUUAAAAAUACCUUCUCUGUUAACAUCUGGACUGGCGUCUGAGCACACACCUGGGUAACAUGGCCCACAAAGUUGACACAUAAAGGUCACAGGGGCAUGAAGUGACUGCCACCCUUUGCAGUCUCCCAGAUUACGCUUCUGUCUAUACCCCACCCAGACCCCCUUGGAGCCCCUUUCUCUUUCCCCAGGCCCAGGUGCUGUGGCCACUCCCGAGCCUCACCUCUUCUGCAGAGGCCACCCUUGGAGCCACCCUGUGUGAGGCACAGAGGGCUGGAGCCUAGGGGGAUCUCCUGCCAAGGGUGAUCCUACUCCCUGCUUUGUUACUGUCAGUCUGGCCUCAUCCCACGAGAGGCAGGAAGCCCAGGCUGUCCCUUUGGGCUGAUACACCUUGGAAGCCUGAUUUCAGGCUUUCUCCCCACCCGUGUUCCUCCCCUGUGCUUCCCCCGACACCCCAGCCAUGCUAGGUUCCUUUGCUUUCUCCCUGUCUGCUCCCCACUCACCCCCACGCCAGUUUCUCUUGCGAGUACUCAAACCCUCCUCUGAGGGUCUGCUUUAGGGGAACCCAACCUAAGACAGACCCCCGUGUGAAGCCGGGAGCAAGACAUGGUGUAUCAUGUGCCUCCCCCAAGCACCUGCUGGGUCCAAGCAGGGGAGGAAACAGGCAGAGCCCCUCUGCUUGUGGAGCUAACAUCCUUCCAUGUGGCUGACUAGGAGGUUUUUCCAGCUAGAGGUGGAAUUUAUGCGUCUGUUCUGAUGGCGCUGCUCCCUGCUUUGUUACUGUCAGUCUGGCCUCAUCCCACGAGAGGCAGGAGAAGGCGACCCUGGGUUUCAGUUUGAUUUGUGCUCAGUGUAGCUCCCCAUUGCCUCUGGUUUCCUGCUCUUACGAGCAGAAAUCAAGUGCACGUUACAUGUAUCUGCCAGUGCGAGGCGGGUCUCAUCCUUUACGUAGCAUAACCAAGCCCCAGAGGCCGGGCUCCCCAUACCCAAUGCACAGGGCCCCAAUCUCAGCUGCCCCCCCAACUUUCCCACAGUUCUCCUCUCUUCAUCACACCUACUUCCUGUGGCCUCUGCCCCAGUUGUGCCCCUCAAACUGCAAAUACACCCCCCAACGCGAGCCAGACCAUUCUUCCUCACCAUCAGUGGUCCACGCGUCCCAGAGCCCCCUGUGCUGUGAUCGCCGCCUUUACAGAUGUGUGUGAGGGUGCGUUGGUGUUUUGUGACAGAUAUGGAAAUUCAAUAAAAGGCAAGUUAAUUAAAACAGAACAAGCUGUUGCCUGGA